AUGAAGAAUGAGUCAGAUGUAUUGAAUCAUAAUGGAGACUCAAUACAGGAUUAUACAGUAGAGAGGAAUGAGUCAGAUGUGAGGUGUGAGGUGUGUGUGGUGAGGUGUGUGUGGUGAGGUGAGGUGUGUGAGGUGAGGUGUGUGUACCUGGUUGUUGGGGCUGAGGUUGAGUGAGGGGUGUGUACCUGGUUGUUGGGGCUGAGGUUGAGGGAGGUGUGUGUACCUGGUUGUUGGGGUUG